rnacentral:ncRNA from 1 species
UCUAAGCAUUUAGGCAUGCUUGAUAGGCAAAUCCGUCAGGCUAAGCUGAGAUGUUAUGGGGAGCCAAAUGUGGCGAAGUAUCUGAUUCCACACUGCCAAGAAAAGCCUCUAUCGAGUAAAUAGGUGCCCGUACCGCAAACCGACACAGGUAGGUGAGGAGAGAAUCCUAAGGCCAUCGGAAGAAUUGCUGUUAAGGAACUCGGCAAAUUGACCCCGUAACUUCGGGAGAAGGGGUGCCUACGAAAGUAGGCCGCAGAGAAUAGGCCCAAGCAACGGUUUAGCAAAAACACAGGUCUCUGCUAAAGCGAAAGCUGAUGUAUAGGGGCUGACGCCGGCCCGGUGCUGGAAGGUUAAGGGGAACACUUAGCGUAAGCGAAGGUGUGAACUUAAGCCCCAGUAAACGGCGGCCGUAACUAUAACGGUCCUAAGGUAGCGAAAUUCCUUGUCGGGUAAGUUCCGACCCGCACGAAUGGCGUAAUGAUUUGGGCACUGUCUCAACAGCAAAUCCGGCGAAAUUGUAGUGCAAGUGAAGAUGCUUGCUACCCGCGAUUGGACGGAAAGACCCCGUAGAGCUUUACUGUAGCUUAGCAUUGAAUCUCGGUAUUGUCUGUACAGGAU